rnacentral:rRNA from 1 species
UGGGGAAUAUUGCACAAUGGGCGCAAGCCUGAUGCAGCCAUGCCGCGUGUAUGAAGAAGGCCUUCGGGUUGUAAAGUACUUUCAGCGGGGAGGAAGGGAGUAAAGUUAAUACCUUUGCUCAUUGACGUUACCCGCAGAAGAAGCACCGGCUAACUCCGUGCCAGCAGCCGCGGUAAUACGGAGGGUGCAAGCGUUAAUCGGAAUUACUGGGCGUAAAGCGCACGCAGGCGGUUUGUUAAGUCAGAUGUGAAAUCCCCGGGCUCAACCUGGGAACUGCCUCUGAUACUGGCAAGCUUGAGUCUCGUAGAGGGGGGUAGAAUUCCAGGUGUAGCGGUGAAAUGCGUAGAGAUCUGGAGGAAUACCGGUGGCGAAGGCGGCCCCCUGGACGAAGACUGACGCUCAGGUGCGAAAGCGUGGUGAGCAAACAGG